rnacentral:rRNA from 1 species
GAUGAACGCUGGCGGCGUGCCUAAUACAUGCAAGUCGAGCGAACGGACGAGAAGCUUGCUUCUCUGAUGUUAGCGGCGGACGGGUGAGUAACACGUGGAUAACCUACCUAUAAGACUGGGGUAACUUCGGGAAACCGGAGCUAAUACCGGAUAAUAUUUUGAACCGCAUGGUUCAAAAGUGAAAGACGGUCUUGCUGUCUCUUAUAGAUGGAUCCGCGCUGCAUUAGCUAGUUGGUAAGGUAACGGCUUACCAAGGCAACGAUGCAUAGCCGACCUGAGAGGGUGAUCGGCCACACUGGAACUGAGACACGGUCCAGACUCCUACGGGAGGCAGCAGUAGGGAAUCUUCCGCAAUGGGCGAAAGCCUGACGGAGCAACGCCGCGUGAGUGAUGAAGGUCUUCGGAUCGUAAAACUCUGUUAUUAGGGAAGAACAUAUGUGUAAGUAACUGUGCACAUCUUGACGGUACCUAAUCAGAAAGCCACGGCUAACUACGUG